GCCGGGAGAAGCAGGACAUCUGCGAGCACUGAAUACUAAAUAUUAUUUUAAGAUGGACUCACACUGGAUACAGACAGCAAAGAAAAAACAUUUGAAGUCAGCCUAAUCAAAUCAUUCCCCCAAGAUGGAGUAAGAAAAGGCCUUUACCAGCAUUUCCUGUGGAAGAAAAAAGGAGGUGUACCAAAAGAGGAUGCAGCUGAGCUCACAGGAGACACAUUACGCUGUCGGAGUGUAAGCCCAGACCCCACACGAAACAGACUGGUAGAACAAAAGGUAAAAUACAGGCCCGCUGAGCCUCUCAGCAGGAGGAGCAGUCUGGGGAACUUUAAGUUGGACUGAACUCAAAUCCAAUGUGCUCAGAGUGUUCCUCACAGCUAAUCAUCCAUCUCUGUAAAUCCACAAGUGUUCAAGCAGUUCAUAUACCAAUGAGAUAAAUGACGACAAGCUGUCUGGCUGCACUGUGGUCUUUGAACAAGAUGUAUAUCUUAUAUUCAGUGUUAUUAAUAAUAUUUUCAAAAGCAUUAUGAAGUAUAAGAGCUCUAUCUUUUGUCAUUUAACUAGACUUAACUAGAACAAAUAAAGUAAAAUGA